GAUGAAGAACGUAGCGAAAUGCGAUAAGUAAUGUGAAUUGCAGAAUUCAGUGAAUCAUCGAAUCUUUGAACGCACAUUGCGCCCGCCAGUAUUCUGGCGGGCAUGCCUGUCUGAGCGUCAUUUCAACCCUCAUGCCCCUAGGGCGUGGUGUUGGGGAUCGGCCAAAGCCCGCGAGGGACGGCCGGCCCCUAAAUCUAGUGGCGGACCCGUCGUGGCCUCCUCUGCGAAGUAGUGAUAUUCCGCAUCGGAGAGCGAUGAGCCCCUGCCGUUAAACCCCCAACUUUCCAAGGUUGACCUCAGAUCAGGUAGGAAUACCCGCUGAACUUAAGCAUAUCAAUAGGCGGAGGA
rnacentral:misc_RNA from 1 species